rnacentral:rRNA from 1 species
CACCGCGGUUAAACGAGAGGCCCUAGUUGACAUAAUAAACGGCGUAAAGGGUGGUUAUGGAAAAACAAUAAUUAAGGCCGAAUAGCCCCCUGGCCGUUAUACGCUCCUUUAGGCGCUCGAAACCCAAUAUAUGAAAGUAGCCUUAAUAAAAUUUCCAGACCCCACGAAAGCUAAGAAA